CAGUCGACGAUGAUGCCCAGCUUGCUGGGUGGAUUAGUGGCGAACGGGUGAGUAACACGUGAGUAACCUGCCCUUGACUUCGGGAUAACUCCGGGAAACCGGGGCUAAUACCGGAUAUGAGCUACCUUCGCAUGGGGGUGGUUGGAAAGUUUUUCGGUCAAGGAUGGGCUCGCGGCCUAUCAGCUUGUUGGUGGGGUGAUGGCCUACCAAGGCGACGACGGGUAGCCGGCCUGAGAGGGCGACCGGCCACACUGGGACUGAGACACGGCCCAGACUCCUACGGGAGGCAGCAGUGGGGAAUAUUGCACAAUGGGCGAAAGCCUGAUGCAGCGACGCCGCGUGAGGGAUGAAGGCCUUCGGGUUGUAAACCUCUUUCAGCAGGGAAGAAGCGCAAGUGACGGUACCUGCAGAAGAAGCGCCGGCUAACUACGUGCCAGCAGCCGCGGUAAUACGUAGGGCGCAAGCGUUGUCCGGAAUUAUUGGGCGUAAAGAGCUCGUAGGCGGUUUGUCGCGUCUGGUGUGAAAACUCGAGGCUCAACCUCGAGCUUGCAUCGGGUACGGGCAGACUAGAGUGCGGUAGGGGAGACUGGAAUUCCUGGUGUAGCGGUGGAAUGCGCAGAUAUCAGGAGGAACACCGAUGGCGAAGGCAGGUCUCUGGGCCGCAACUGACGCUGAGGAGCGAAAGCAUGGGGAGCGAACAGGAUUAGAUACCCUGGUAGUCCAUGCCGUAAACGUUGGGCACUAGGUGUGGGGCUCAUUCCACGAGUUCCGUGCCGCAGCAAACGCAUUAAGUGCCCCGCCUGGGGAGUACGGCCGCAAGGCUAAAACUCAAAGGAAUUGACGGGGGCCCGCACAAGCGGCGGAGCAUGCGGAUUAAUUCGAUGCAACGCGAAGAACCUUACCAAGGCUUGACAUGCACGGGAAGCCACCAGAGAUGGUGGUCUCUUUGGACACUCGUGCACAGGUGGUGCAUGGUUGUCGUCAGCUCGUGUCGUGAGAUGUUGGGUUAAGUCCCGCAACGAGCGCAACCCUCGUCCCAUGUUGCCAGCGGGUUAUGCCGGGGACUCAUGGGGAAACUGCCGGGGUCAAC
rnacentral:rRNA from 1 species